CUACCAAAGCCGUGGCGCAUCUCGGUUUGUGGGACUUUCUUCAACCCAGGAUGUGGGCACACAGCUGCUUGGCUGGCCUGGUGAUGUGUCUGCCAGGGGUGACCCACAACAUGCUUUCUUUGGUUUAGGAUGCAGGCAUAAAGCUGCUUGGGUCUAGGGUGUGUCUGCUCUGGGUGAUUCACAGAGUUUCUUAGGCCCAGGACACAGCUGCCCAGUUUCUCAGUUGGCCUGGGGCAUGUUUGUUGGGGGUGGUCCCUGAGGUUUCUCAGAUCCAGUGCAUGGGUGCAUGACUGCUCUGCUGCCUGGGUUGGGCACAAGGCUAUUUCUCAGACCUAUGACAUAUCUGCAUUGCUGCUCAAAUGGCCUAGGGGCAUUUCUGUGGGUGGUGGCCCAUGAGAUUAUUUCGUAGGCCUGGGCAAGGAGCACAGGACUGCUUAGUCAGCUUGUGGUUGUGUCCACUACAGGCAGCCUGCAGGGCUGUUUUUCAAUCUAGGACACGGACACACAGCCGGUCAGUUGUCCUGGGGGAUGACUGUCAGGGGCAGCCCACAGGGCUGUUUCUCAGGUCUGGGAUUCAAGUGCAUGGCUGCUCAGCUGGCUCAGGGGCACGCCCACAAGGGGCAGCCUGCGGGACUGCUUUUUAAGUCCGGCAUAUGGGCUCUUGGCUGCUUGGCUGCCCUGGAGACGUGCCACCAGUAGUGACCUACAGGACUCUUUCUUAAGCUCUUAUCGGAGACACAGGCCCACUGGGCAGCCUGGGAGGAGGGUGCACUCCACAGGUGGCUCUGCUGUCAAGAUGGGGCUAUUCUGCAGCAGCUUCGCUCACAGGGAGUGGGUGGGGGUGGGGAGUGCACACCUUACACUCCUAAUCCAAGGCAGUGCAGCUGCAUGAAUUCCAGGCAGCUCUGCAAACGGGGCUCAGGGCUUGUGAGAACUGUGGGGUUCUCCUGUAGAAAGGACUAUAGGUGUUUGUCAAGAUAAUGAAGGCUGGUGGGGAUCUGCUUACCUUUUCUCCACAACAGGAAGUCCCUCCUGUCUUCAGGCCAAUCCGAUUUGGGAAAAGCAGAUGGGGCUGUAGAGGCCGGGUGCCUCCAUGCUGCUCUUCCGGACUUCUGUCACUGCAGAUUCAUCCCACUCCCCCACUGUACUCCAGUGCUCUCCCUUCGACACUCCAGUCAAAGUGAGCUGUUUAUUCAUUGCCUUGGGCCUUUCUUGUUGGGCGGGACAAGCAGCAGGUGUCUCUAGUCAGCCAUCUUGCUGACAUUACUCCUGGCUCCAAUUCUUUUUUUUUUUUUUUUUUUUUGAGACGGAGUCUCGCCUUGUUGCCCAGGCUGGAGUGCAGUGGCGCAAUCUCAGCUCACUGCAACUUCUGCCUCCCGGGUUCAAGUGAUUCUCCUACCUCAGCCUCCCGAGUAGCUGGGAUUACAGGUGUCUGCCACCAUGCUCGGCUAAUUUUUUGUAUUUUUUUAGUAGAGAUGGGGUUUCACCAUGUUGGCCAGGCUGGUC
rnacentral:lncRNA from 1 species